rnacentral:rRNA from 1 species
UAACACGUAGGUAACCUGCCCCGGAGCGGGGGAUAACAUUUGGAAACAGAUGCUAAUACCGCAUAACAACAAAAGCCACAUGGCUUUUGUUUGAAAGAUGGCUUUGGCUAUCACUCCGGGAUGGACCUGCGGUGCAUUAGCUAGUUGGUAAGGUAACGGCUUACCAAGGCGAUGAUGCAUAGCCGAGUUGAGAGACUGAUCGGCCACAAUGGAACUGAGACACGGUCCAUACUCCUACGGGAGGCAACAGUAGGGAAUCUUCCACAAUGGGCGCAAGCCUGAUGGAGCAACACCGCGUGAGUGAAGAAGGGUUUCGGCUCGUAAAGCUCUGUUGUUGGAGAAGAACGUGCGUGAGAGUAACUGUUCACGCAGUGACGGUAUCCAACCAGAAAGUCACGGCUAACUACGUGCCAGCAGCCGCGGUAAUACGUAGGUGGCAAGCGUUAUCCGGAUUUAUUGGGCGUAAAGCGAGCGCAGGCGGUUGCUUAGGUCUGAUGUGAAAGCCUUCGGCUUAACCGAAGAAGUGCAUCGGAAACCGGGCAACUUGAGUGCAGAAGAGGACAGUGGAACUCCAUGUGUAGCGGUGGAAUGCGUAGAUAUAUGGAAGAACACCAGUGGCGAAGGCGGCUGUCUGGUCUGCAACUGACGCUGAGGCUCGAAAGC